CAGCAGGCGCGAAAACUUUACACUGCGCGAAAGCGCGAUAAGGGGACCUCGAGUGCGUGCGCAAUGCAUACGCUUUUCAGAUGCCUAAAAAGCAUCUGGAAUAAGGGCCGGGCAAGACCGGUGCCAGCCGCCGCGGUAACACCGGCGGCUCAAGUGGUGGCCGCUAUUAUUGGGCUUAAAGGGUCCGUAGCCGGACCAGUUAGUCCCUUGGGAAAUCUUACGGCUUAACCGUAAGGCUGCCAAUGGAU
rnacentral:rRNA from 1 species